rnacentral:lncRNA from 1 species
CCAGAGUGCCAUCGAGUUCCUUCCCCUAAGGAUCAGACUUCCAGACUCAAGGUCUCUCCUGAGCACACGGCUUCAUAAACCAGCUGCACAAGCAACUGCAUCUGGGGAUCUGCUUCAAGAGAAACUUAACUAAAGCAAGAAUGGGCUCUAACUUCAGGAUACCUAGGAUUCUAACCUCGUUCCAUUACUUACCAACGAUAUGACCUGGGAAAAAUUAUAUACCUGCUGUAAGCCUCAAUGUCCUCAUUUGAAAUACACACAUAAUAGUAGGAUCUCUCUUACAAGGUUGCUGAAAAUAUAAACAGUGGUUAUCAAUGGAAAAAGCUUCUCUCAGUGCUUGGCAAAUAGGAAGCACUUAAUAAGUGUUUUCCGGUAUUUUUAUGAUUAUCAUCAUUACUAUAAUUCCCAAGGCAC